ACGGGAGGCAGCAGUGGGGAAUAUUGGGCAAUGGGGGAAACCCUGAACCAGCCAUGCCGCGUGAAGGAUUAAGGCCCUAUGGGUCGUAAACUUCUUUUGUACGGGAGCAAUAAGACAUACGUGUAUGUCGAUGAGAGUACAGUACGAAUAAGCAUCGGCUAACUCCGUGCCAGCAGCCGCGGUAAUACGGAGGAUGCAAGCGUUAUCCGGAUUUAUUGGGUUUAAAGGGUGCGUAGGCGGUAUGGUAAGUCAGCGGUGAAAUGUCCACGCUUAACGUGGAACGUGCCGUUGAUACUGUCGUACUGGAAUUUGGUUGCCGUGGGAGGAAUGUGUAGUGUAGCGGUGAAAUGCUUAGAUAUUACACAGAACACCGAUUGCGAAGGCAUCUCACGAAACCGAUAUUGACGCUGAGGCACGAAAGUGUGGGGAUCAAACAGGAUUAGAUACCCUGGUA
rnacentral:rRNA from 1 species